UCGAACGAAGUAGUAAUACUUAAUGGCAGACGGGUGAGUAACAUGUAGGUAUCUUCCCUUUGGUGAGGAAUAACACGAGGAAACUUGUGCUAAUACCUCAUAAGUCUUUACGGAGAAAGCUUUAUGCGCCAAAGGAUGAGCCUGCACUUGAUCAGUUUGUUGGUGGGGUAACGGCCUACCAAGACUUUGAUCAAUAGCUGAUCUGAGAGGAUGAUCAGCCACAUUGGGACUGAGACACGGCCCAAACUCCUACGGGAGGCAGCAGUAGGGAAUAUUGCACAAUGGAGGAAACUCUGAUGCAGCGAUGCCGCGUGAGUGAAGAAGGCCUUUGGGUUGUAAAGCUCUUUCGUCGGGGAAGAAAAUGACUGUACCCGAAUAAGAAGGUCCGGCUAACUUCGUGCCGGCAGCCGCGGUAAUACGAAGGGACCUAGCGUAGUUCGGAAUUACUGGGCUUAAAGAGUUCGUAGGUGGUUAAAAAAGUUGGUGGUGAAAUCCCAGAGCUUAACUCUGGAACUGCCAUCAAACUUUUUAGCUAGAGCAUGAUAGAGGAAAGCAGAAUUUC
rnacentral:rRNA from 1 species